rnacentral:rRNA from 1 species
AGUGAACGCUGGGGGCGUGCAUAACACAUGCAAGUCGAACGUGAACGGGCUAUAGCUUGCUAUAGUUGUCUGCUAAGUGGCGCCCGGGUGAGUAAUAUAUAGGUAAUAUGCCUCUUACUAAGGGAUAACAAAUGGAAACGUUUGCUAAUACCUUAUACUCCUUAUUAACAGAAGUUAAUAAGGGAAAGAUUUAUUGGUAAGAGAUUAGCCUGUAUUGUAUCAGUUAGUUGGUGGGGUAAUGGCCUACCAAGACUAUGACACAUAACUGGUUUGAGAGGAUGAUCAGUCACACUGGAACUGAGACACGGACUACAGUCGCAGGUGAAGCAGAAGUGGUUAACAUUGGACAAAGGACUAAAGAGUGAUGGAGAAGAUCGGCAAGGCGAAUGAGCAAUUUCGGGGCGUCAGCUCGGUUUAUAGGCGAAAAUGAUCACGGUAUAAUAUGAAUAAGCACCGGCUAACACCGUGGGAGCCUCCGCGUAA